UAGGGAAUCUUCCACAAUGGACGCAAGUCUGAUGGAGCAACGCCGCGUGAGUGAAGAAGGUUUUCGGAUCGUAAAGCUCUGUUGUUGGUGAAGAAGGAUAGAGGCAGUAACUGUUCUUUAUUUGACGGUAAUCAACCAGAAAGUCACGGCUAACUACGUGCCAGCAGCCGCGGUAAUACGUAGGUGGCAAGCGUUGUCCGGAUUCAUUGGGCGUAAAGCGAGCGCAGGCGCAAUGAUAAGUCUGAUGUGAAAGCCCACGGCUCAACCGUGCAAUUACAUCGGAAACUGUCAUUCUUGAGUGCAGAAGAGGAGAGUGGAAUUCAAUGUGUAGCGGUGAGAUGCGUAGAUAUAUGGAGGAAUACCAGUGGCAAAGGCGACUCUCUGGUCUGCAACUGACGCUGAGGCUCGAAAGCAUGGGUAGCGAACAGG
rnacentral:rRNA from 1 species